CGCCGUGCUUUUCCAUGCGGUGGCAUUGGUAUACUGUUUAUUAAUUACUCAUACGGGGGGGGGGAGUCUGGAGCCCGUCAACGAAGUGAUCAGUUCGCUACCUAGAAUUCCAUUUUAGGGAGGGUCGAGGAUUGUCUGGUUUUGGGCGCAAGGCGAUGAGCGAUUGGAACUCAGUCCUGUGGUCAGUGGUGUCACGCAGACAUCCGUCUCUGCGCGCUUCUGUCGGGAUAACGCAGCUGACACGCGCGGAUGCUCCGGCAAAUGAAAAGAAAACGGGCUCCGAAACUUUCCAGGAUUUUCCCAAUGCGUUGGGGAGACACAUCAUCAUGAUGACCGUGUAUUUCAGCCGUUCUGAUGCAACGGGCCGUGCUCCGCCUUGUUGGACACAAUAAUAUAAGAACGCUCUUCUCCUUCUAAAGGACGUCGUGUUGCAAUCUCGAUCACGGGAUCAGAGGAUUACCGAAGUGGGAGACCGCGUUAACAUCAACUUCAGGACUGCUGGUAAGGCAGGCGGGGCGGGGGGGGAGGAGGCUGCAAUGUGGCCGCGUAGUGACCCAACUCCAGCAGCCACCAGCGAGUGUCCGCGCCGCGCUCCUCUCUCUCCCGUGCUGGACAGAACCCUCUCCCUGAGCCCGAGGCGACGGGUACGAGAUGUGCCGAGCAUGCUUCACAUCCCCAGUGACUCGUGGUGGUGGACCGGCCUUCCUGCGGGACCGGUAUGAGCCCGACACUGAGGCUGGGAAAGAGGAGCUGGUGACUCAGGCCCGGCCCUGGGCCAGGGUUUGGGGAAGGGAAUGCGGGGAAUUACCCAUUGUGGAAGCUCAUAUUGCCACGGACAGGAAGCAAUGCUUGCCUGCAUCCCUUGGUACUGUUGUUCUCACUACAAUUCCCUUAAGUAGCUUUCCUCAUGCUACUGUUACUCUCACUACAUUUUGUGUCACAAGUGUUACUCCCUGUACCUUUCCUCUCAGUAUUGCGACCCCCUGUACAGUUGCUCUCGUUGUUGUUCCCCUCUGUCCCAUUUCUCUUUACCCUAACUACCAUAGUCCUCUCAGCAGCGUUACCUCAUUACCAUAUUCCUGUCAGCAGCGUUACCCUCAUUACCAUAUUCCUGUCAGCAGCGUUACCUCACUACCAUAUUCCUGUCAGCAGCAUUACCUCACUACCAUAUUCCUGUCAGCAGCGUUACCUCACUACCAUAUUCCUGUCAACAGCAUUACCUCACUACCAUAUUCCUCAGGAGUGUUACCUCACUACCAUAUUCCUGUCAGCAGCAUUACCUCACUACCAUAUUCCUGUCAGCAGUGUUACCUCACUACCAUAUUCCUCAGGAGUGUUACCUCACUACCAUAUUUCUGUCAGCAGCAUUACCUCACUACCAUAUUCCUGUCAGCAGUGUUACCUCACUACCAUAUUCCUGUCAGCAGUGUUACCUCACUACCAUAUUCCUGUCAGCAGCAUUACCUCACUACCAUAUUCCUCAGGAGCGUUACCUCACUACCAUAUUCCUGUCAGCAGCGUUACCUCACUACCAUAUUCCUCAGCAGCGUUACCUCACUACCAUAUUCCAGUCAGCAGCGUUAUUUCGCUACCAUAUUCCUCAGCAGUGUUACCUCACUACCAUAUUCCUGUCAGCAGCAUUACCUCACUACCAUAUUCCUGUCAGCAGCGUUACCUCACUACCAUAUUCCUGUCAACAGCAUUACCUCACUACCAUAUUCCUCAGGAGUGUUACCUCACUACCAUAUUCCUGUCAGCAGCAUUACCUCACUACCAUAUUCCUGUCAGCAGUGUUACCUCACUACCAUAUUCCUGUCAGCAGCGCUACCUCACUACCAUAUCUCUGUCAGCAGCAUUACCUCACUACCAUAUU
ensembl:lncRNA